AAUGUGAUUGCAGAUUCAGUGAAUCAUCGAGUCUUUGAACGCACAUUGCGCCCCCUGGUAUUCCGGGGGGCAUGCCUGUUCGAGCGUCAUUUCUGCACUCAAGCCCCGCUUGGGAGUGGGGGACGCGGUCCCCCGCGCGCCUCACAUCCACCGGCUGGGUCUUYCGUCCCCUCAGCGUUGUGGAAACUAUUCGCUAAAGGGUGCCCCGGGAGGCCACGCCGGAAAACAACCCCAUUUCUAAGGUUGACCUCUGAUCAGGUAGGGAUACCCGCUGAACUUAAACAUAUCAAUAAGCGGAGGAA
rnacentral:rRNA from 1 species